rnacentral:rRNA from 1 species
AUGCCCAUGUUUCAGGAGUUUUUUGAGGGGCAGCUUCAAUUGUUUAAGCUGAAUUUUGGGACGAUAACUCUUCUUCCUAAGAAGACAGAGGCAGUUCGCAUUGAGCAGUUCAGACCUAUAUGUCUGCUUAAUGUGAGUUUCAAAAUCUUCACCAAGGUUGGGACAAAUAGACUUACGCAGAUUGCACACUCAGUAGUUCAGCCGUCCCAGACUGCUUUCAUGCCGGAUAGAAACAUCCUCGAAGGGGUUGUUGUCUUGCAUGAAACGCUCCAUGAAAUCCACUCCAAAAAACUUGAUGGCGUAGUUUUUAAAGUGGAUUUUGAAAAAGCAUAUGAUAAAGUCAAAUGGCCUUUCCUUCAACAAGCUUUGCGUAUGAAAGGUUUUGAUCCGGCCUGGAGAAACCAGAUUGAUUCCUUUACGCAAAAAGGGAGUGUCGGGAUUAAGGUGAAUGAUGACGUGGGUCACUAUUUCCAGACACACAAGGGGCUACGGCAAGGAGAUCCUAUGUCACCAAUCCUGUUUAACAUAGUGGCUGAUAUGCUGACUAUUUUAAUAGGUCGGGCAAAGGAUGCAGGGCAGGUAGGUGCCCUGGUUCCACAUCUAGUUGACGGCGGGAUCUCCAUUCUUCAGUAUGCUGAUGAUACUAUCAUCUUUAUGGAGCACGAUUUGGCGAAAGCAAGAAACAUGAAGCUGCUGUUAUGCUUAUUUGAACAAUUGUCUGGGCUCAAAAUCAACUUCCACAAGAGCGAAUUGUUUUGCUUUGGAAGAGCCAAUGAGGACCGGGAGUCGUAUCAACAAUUGUUCGGAUGUGAAUUGGGCUCAUUACCGUUUACGUACCUAGGUAUACCCAUUCAUCAUCGUAAGCUG